rnacentral:rRNA from 1 species
GAUGAACGCUGGCGGCGUGCCUAACACAUGCAAGUCGAACGAAGCUCCUGCGACAGAUUCCUUCGGGAUGAAAAUGCUUGAAACUUAGGGGCGGACGGGUGAGUAACGCGGGGGUAACCUGCCCUGUACUGGGGGACAACAGUUAGAAAUGACUGCUAAUACCGCAUAAGCCUACGGAGUCGCAUGACUCAGCAGGAAAAAUUCCGGUGGUACAGGAUGGGCCCGCGUCUGAUUAGCUAGUUGGUGAGGUAAUGGCUCACCAAGGCGACAAUCAGUAGCCGGCUUGAGAGAGUGAACGGCCACUUUGGGACUGAGACACGGCCCAAACUCCUACGGGAGGCAGCAGUGAGGAAUAUUGGUCAAUGGGCGGAAGCCUGAACCAGCCAUGCCGCGUGCGGGAAGGAGGCCCUAUGGGCUGUGAACCGCUUUUGCCUGGGGGCAAUAAGGGCGCCGCGCGCGCCCGAUGAGAGUACCAGGCGAAUAAGCAUCGGCUAACUCCGUG